UCUGUCAAGUGGGGCCUAGUUAUUUGAGAUCCCAGGAGCAACCACCACCUAAAUACAAGCUUUAAGCAAACCAAUGAAAAGUUAAAAUGAGAAACUAUAUAAGUUAACCACAUGAUUAUGCUUAUGUUUGAUGCAAGAAUGAUUUUAAUAGGCUGAUAUAUAUUCUGGAAAUGAUGAUUGCUAUAGAAGAGAAUGAUUUAAAAUAAGUUAUUUGAUCAUGCUAAGAAAAAUGAUUUAAAGAAGUGAUUCAGUGUAACUAAGUGAGUUUUGAAUGGAAGUAAUCGGUGCUGUUCUGAGCUGUAUGCAGACAGGAUGGGAAAAGCAGAAGUCUCCUCAGAAAUGAGGAACUUGGAGUUUCCACAGGAUGACAGGAUGGGCUCAGGCCUACAUUGUCAUGACAACUGAAGUGUGUGUAACAAGUGGAUGUGUUAACAGAAAAGAUGGAAAGAAUGAUGUAUGCGUGAUAGGAAGAAGGUUGUGUCUUAAACCUAUGAAUUAAUUACCUGGGCGUACCUAUUAGUUAGAAUUGUGUGUGAAAAUGUGUAUGUGCUAAGCUGAAGUCGAGCUAGGGUAUAAAACCCAGAGACACAGACACUGAAUUGGGAGUUCUCCCCCGGAGGGGGGAGAUGCUGCUCGCCGGAGCUGCCGGAGAGCAUCGCCAAAGUUCUGAAGAGUCGACACCGGACCCUUUUGCCCAAGAGACGUGAAGACAACGCAGGACUUAGGCUCCAGAGUUCGCUGAGAACAUCGUUGGAGGCAAAGUCUUUGUCUGACUUUGUUCAACAAGCGAAGACCACACUUUGCUGAAAGGAGAGUCCUGAGAGGUCUGCAGUUGUCCAAAGAGAUGAAGAGAGGCAAGCACCCAUGGCAUCCAGAGAGGCACAGGAGGCAGCAGCAGAGGGCUGCUCCACUCCAGGGGCUGGAGGACCCAGCGACCCACCACAGCCUGAUGAGACGGGGGCUUUCCACCACCACCAUCCGACUGAGAAGACAGCUGAGACGCCCGCACUUGUGUUCCAGCUGCUACUAAAGAUAACUGCCAGACCAACGAUUGGCUAUCGGGACCUCUCCACUCCCCCUGCCUAUGAAGAACACCCUCUGCCCACAAAGAAGACUUCGUACCGAGUCUGCUGGUCCACGGAGGAGUUCAACUAGACGCAGGUCAAGACCGGGCGUGGCAGCUAAGGCCUGGCUGUCCGCUCUCUCUCCUAAAUUUACUAAUUAGAGAAGAUUCUUAGGUACGCUCAGCUUAGUUUAGUUUAGUUUGAAAUAAUCAGAAAUAAUUAAAUUGUUUAAUCAUGAAUUAAUGCUGUGCCCCUGCUAAUAAUUGCUUAAUAAAACGCUAUAUUGCAUUUAAAGAGAA